UACGGGGGGGGCAAGCGUUGUUCGGAAUUACUGGGCGUAAAGGGCUCGUAGGCGGCCAACUAAGUCAGAUGUGAAAUCCCUCGGCUUAACCGGGGAACUGCGUCUGAUACUGGAUGGCUUGAAUCCGGGAGAGGGAUGCGGAAUUCCAGGUGUAGCGGUGAAAUGCGUAGAUAUCUGGAGGAACACCGGUGGCGAAGGCGGCAUCCUGGACCGGUAUUGACGCUGAGGAGCGAAAGCCAGGGGAGCAAACGGG
rnacentral:rRNA from 1 species